rnacentral:rRNA from 1 species
GACGAACGCUGGCGGCGUGCUUAACACAUGCAAGUCGAACGGAAAGGCCCUGCUUUUGUGGGGUGCUCGAGUGGCGAACGGGUGAGUAUCACGUGAGUAACCUGCCCUUUACUUUGGGAUAACUUCAGGAAACUGGGGCUAAUACCGGAUAUGAGCUCCUUCUGCAUGGUGGGGGUUGUAAAGUUUUGGCGGUUGGGGAUGGACACGCGGCUUAUCAGCUUGUUGGUGGGGUAGUGUCUUACCAAGGCUCUGACGGGUAGCCGGCCUGAGAGGGUGACCGGCCACAUUGGGACUGAGAUACGGCCCAGACUCAUACGGGAGGCAGCAGUGGGGAAUAUUGCACAAUGGGCGGAAGCCUGAUGCAGCAACGCCGCGUGCGAGAUGACGGCCUUCGGGUUGUAAACCGCUUUCGCCUGUGACGAAGCGUGAGUGACGGUAAUGGGUAAAGAAGCACCGGCUAACUACGUG